GCAUCAAUGGGGUAGUGGUAACCUGGGUCGUUGCCAUGAGGAGAACCUCGACCCGCCGCGAGUUCGAUUCUCGCUUGAUGCA
rnacentral:tRNA from 1 species